CGGGGAUGGCGGAGCCGAGGGCGUUGAGCAUGGUCUGGGAGUGGAUGCGGGUGGCGACGCCGGCGUCCUCGGGGGUGAACUCGGGGAGCGCGUCGGCCCAGCCGGCGGGGAGCUCACCGGUGAUGAUGGAGUUGAGCUCGGCGUAAUCCUCGGGGUACUUCUCCUUGUACUCGGCGAACUUCUUGUUCCAGGCGGCCUCCGCGGCGGCACCCUUCUCGGAGCAGUCCAUGUACUUGGAGACGUCCUCGGGGACCUCGAAGGGCUCGUACUUCCAGCCGAGGUUCUCGCGGGUCGCCUUGGUCUCGUCGGCGCCGAGGGGCGCGCCAUGGACGUCGUGGGAGUUGGACUUGUUGGGGGAGCCGUAGCCGAUGAGGGUGGUCACCUUGAUGAGGGAGGGGCGGGGAUCGGCCUUGGCCUUGUUGAUCGCGUCGCGGAUGGCGUCGAGGUCGGUGUUACCGUCCUGGACGUGCUGGACGUGCCAGCCGUACGCCUCGUAGCGGGCGCAGACAUCCUCGGUGAAGGAGAUGUCGGUGUGGCCGUCGAUGGAGAUGGAGUUGUCAUCGUAGAAGGCGAUGAGCUUGCCGAGUCCCCAGUGGGCGGCGAGGGAGGCGCCCUCACCGGACAUACCCUCCAUGUUGCAGCCGUCGCCCAUGAUGGCGUAGGUGUAGUGGUCGACGAUCUCACAGUCGGGCUUGUUGAAGCGGCCCGCGAGGUGCUUCUCGGCCAUCGCGAGGCCGACGGCGUUGCAGAUGCCCAUACCGAGGGGACCGGUGGUGACCUCAAUGCCGUUGGUGAUGAAGUUCUCGGGGUGACCGGGGGUGACGGAGUCCCACUGGCGGAAGUUCUUGAGGUCGUCGUUCUGUCGCGGAGAGGGGGAGGGGCGGGGAUGGUCAGCCGAUGUAAGGGGCGCAGGCGUAAAUUGACAAAAACUCUUGCAGUCCCGAAGCGAAAUGACCGGGAGGAUUUUUAUCCCCUUCGCCAGGAUUUCCGCUGUCGGAGCCGGGCAAGUUGGGCGGGGGCGACGGACGGGGCGCUCGUCCGAAGGCCGUUAUGGCGUGGGAUACCACCCAUCGUUCAGAUGUGCCCGAGUCUCCCCGGGUCUGACGCUCGCGUCACCCGCACGCUCCGGAUAAACCCCGACGUGUCGAAAAGCCCUGAGGCCGAUCUUCCCGCUAAACAAAGGGAUAAAUACCGAUUGGUUUUGCCGGGCGAAUGUGCGCGCCCGAUCGGGUACGCGGCGCGGGUUCGGCAGAAAGAAAGGGUUCGAUGACUCACCGAGACGGAGGGGUAGCCGGUGAGGUGCAUGAGGGAGUACUGGAGCAUGCAGCCGUGGCCCGCGGAGAGCACGAAGCGGUCGCGGUUGAACCACUGGUAGUUCUUGGGGUUGUGCGUCAUGGCCUCGCGGUAAAUCACGUAGCCCAUGGGCGCGCAGCCCAUGGGAAGACCGGGGUGGCCGGAGUUGGACUUGUUGAUAGCGUCGAUCGCAAGGAAGCGAAUGGUGUUGACGCAGUCCAUGACGGUCUCGGAGGAGACAUCCGCGGGCGCGGCGACGGCCUGAGCGCGGGUCACCGGCUUGACAGCGCGGGUGGUGACCUUGGCGGAGACCUUCCUCGCGGCGGCCUUGUUGAGGCGCUGACCGGCGAAGGAG
rnacentral:lncRNA from 1 species